CUUGAUGGACGGUAUCAUUGUGGUGCUUUCCAUUUCCCUAGGUGCGGUGCUCAUUGGUGUGGUUGUAAACAUCUACA
rnacentral:SRP_RNA from 1 species